rnacentral:snRNA from 1 species
GUCUGUGUUCUCGGACAUCUGAUAAAAUUGGAACGAUACAGUGAAGAUUAAAGAUUAGUAUAGCUGCGCAAGGAUAACAAUGACACGAUAUUUAUUUGUUUUUU